GACGAACGCUGGCGGCAUGCUUAACACAUGCAAGUCGAACGGGAAGUGCUGUUUUCAGUGGCGUCCGGGUGAGUAACGCGUAAGAACCUGCCCUUGGUAGGGGAACACCAGCUGGAAGCGGCUGCUAAUACCCCGUAGGCUGAGGAGCAAAAGAAGUAAUCCGCCUGAGGGGGGGCUCACGUGUGAUUCGCUAGUUGGUGAGGCAAUAGCUUACCAAGGCGAUGAUCAGUAUCUGGUCCGAGAGGAUGAUCAGCCACACUGGGGCGGAGACACGGCCCAGACUCCUACGGGAGGCAGAGGAGGGGAAUAUACCGGAAAGGGCGAAAGAGUGACGGAGCAAUGCGGCGGGGAGGUAGAAGGGCGAGGGGGCGUGAACUUCUUUUUCCGGAGAAGAAGUAAUGACGGUACCGGGGGAAUAAGCACCGGCUAACUCCGUG
rnacentral:rRNA from 1 species